UUAAUAGGUCACUUAACAUAAUAUAAAUUAUGUAUUGAUUAAGUAUUCAUUCUGGGGGUAUAGUUUCCUUUAACCAGCACCUAACUUAACACCCUAACUAAAAUUACCUAUAAUUGUUGAACCAAUAAAGAAGGAAAGGUAUAAUGCCCCCCCCCCCAAUGAUCAUAAUCACUUACCUUAUACCCCAGCACCAGCCUGCGAGAGAGUGAUCAUCUUCCUCCUCAAGGGGAAAUAAGCUUUACAUAUAAACAAGGCAUUCCCUAUUUUAAAAAUGUAAAAUAUUUCAAUAUGCAUUUGCUAUAUGGAACCAGGCCCGGAUCUGUGGGUUCUGGCAAAUACCAAAAGGACCACUGUAAGAUGCUAUAGACAGUCACUAUUUAUUGGGCCUGUUUGGGCCCCUGUGUACUUGAAAUACAAUAGUCUAUUUUGACUCCUAGUCCAGACCUACAUGUAGUUACACCAUUUCCAGCUUUAUAAUGAAUGAUAGUCUGUGCUUACCAUAAAUGAUGGUUCAUCUGCUGUUCCAGGUGGGCUGCUACUCUGUGAUACUGCGAUGACCAUGCCCUUUUAGAAUGGCACAAAAUCAUCAGAAUCCCCCAGACCCUGGAUCGACAGACAGUUCUGUGCUUGGGCCAAGAACAGUUUCCAUCACAGAGAGACAAGCAAAAGAGACUAGAGAAUAUGUCAAUUAUUUGGAUAAUAAAAAGAAUAUUAAAGAGAGAAUAUUAGACAUUGAAAACUACAUCCUUGG